UACGUAGGGGGCAAGCGUUGUCCGGAUUUAUUGGGCGUAAAGAGCGUGUAGGCGGCCUGGUAGGUCAGCUGUGAAAACUCGAGGCUCAACCUCGAGACGUCGGUUGAAACCACCUGGCUCGAGUCCGGGAGAGGUGAGUGGAACUGCGAGUGUAGAGGUGAAAUUCGUAGAUAUUCGCAAGAACACCAGCGGCGAAGGCGGCUCACUGGCCCGGUACUGACGCUGAGGUGCGAAAGCGUGGGGAGCAAACAGGG
rnacentral:rRNA from 1 species